AUGAGUGGGGCGGGGCCGAGAGCCGUGGAAAUGGAGCGAGGCCGGUGGAGUGAUUUGGGAAAUGAGCGACACCUGCUCCACUCACCAGUCUCGAGUCCCACGGAGGAGAUCGGAAGGAUACAAAAAAGGAGCGACGACAGUGAAGGACGAGAGAGGACCAGGCCUGGGCUUUAUUUUGUGUUUGGUUUUUGUUCGCCCGCGGCAGUCAACCGUGAGGGGCUGUCACGCUGUUUUAUGUUUAUUUGGUUAUUAAAGUUUUAUUUGAGUGUCCGCCGGUUCCCGCCUCCUUCUUCCCAUGAUUAUGGAGUUUUUAUAUUGUUACGCUGGUGCCAAAACCUGGGAGGAAGGAGGGACGUGCUGCCGAAGAUCCCUCGCCGCUGGGGUGAAUCCGCGGUGCCAUCGAGCAGGGCGAAAGAGGCGAGGCGGUGGGCUGGAGUGAGUUGCCGGGAACGGACGAACUCGCUGCCGGCCGCCCGCGAUGUGGAGGGGCAGCUGCCGUCCGUGAGGAAGCAGAGGAGUCAGCGCUGUUCGCCAGGGGGCCGGAGCCUGCUGGCAUCCGCCAGAAUGGGGAGGAGCAGGGAACGGGGGACUCCUGCUGGCUGCCCGAAAGCGGAGGAGCCGUCACCGUCCACUGGGCGGCAGAGGAGUGUCGUGCUGUCCACCGAGGGCCAUCCAGUGCCACCGCCAGGCACCGCGGAAGAGUUCACCCAGCUGGUGGAGGGCCGAGCGGCAGCGUGUCAGGGAACCGGAACAAAUUUUUUUUUUCUCCUCUCUCCCCUCUCUCAUCUCUGUCGCUCCUCAUCCUUCCAUCUCCUUUUCUCUUGCCUCGUCUGUCUGUCCUUACCCCCAGGUUCCCACAGCCACAGUGAACGUUCCCCCCCGGAGAGGGGGGGGGGGAGUAGAGUGCAGUCUCGUGGGUAUGUGACGAGUGGGGCGGGGCCGAGAGCUGUGGGAACGAAGCGAGGCCGGUGGAGUGAUUGGGAAAUGAGCGACACCUGCUCCACUCACCGGUCUCGAGUCCCACGGAGGAGAUCGGGAGGAUACAAAAGAGGAGCGACGACAGUGAAGGACGAGAGAGGACCAGGCCCACAGUGCAAUUAUUAA
ensembl:lncRNA